AACGCUGGCGGCGUGCCUAACACAUGCAAGUCGAACGCGAAAGGGGCUUCGGCCCUGAGUAGAGUGGCGAACGGGUGAGUAACACGUGGGUGAUCUACCUUCGAGUGGGGGAUAACGUUCCGAAAGGAACGCUAAUACCGCAUGACGUUCUUUGUUUAAAGACCUGGAAACCAAAGCCGGGGACCGCAAGGCCUGGCGCUUGAAGAGGAGCCCGCGUCCGAUUAGCUAGUUGGCGGGGUAAUGGCCCACCAAGGCGACGAUCGGUAGCCGGCCUGAGAGGGCGGACGGCCACACUGGAACUGAGACACGGUCCAGACUCCUACGGGAGGCAGCAGUGGGGAAUUGUUCACAAUGGGCGCAAGCCUGAUGACGCAACGCCGCGUGGGGGAUGAAGGUCUUCGGAUCGUAAACCCCUGUCGAAUGGGACGAAUGACCUCUGGGCUAAUCACCAGAGGAAUGACGGUACCGUUAAAGGAAG
rnacentral:rRNA from 1 species